rnacentral:sRNA from 1 species
CCGUUCACUCUACCACGUUACUCGACCCCCUGAUCGAGUAUCAUCACUCACCACCAACACCAUCACUCGACCGGACACUCGAUCACAUCUUCAUAGUCUACUCAAAUCUGCACUCAACCAGACAAGCUGAGCACAAGGAAGAGAAGAGGAGAAGACGAAGUGUUUGGAAGCGGCCUGGACCUCCAUCGGAUCACGAAGCCCAUCUCGUCCCAUUAUCACUCUAUGGGCCGGGCGAUUAGGUUAUUGGCCCGUCUACUAUCAAUUUAUUUCGUUUUGUAUAAAUAGAUGUCUUAGGGUUCUGUCCUGAGACAUCUAGUUGACAUUGAGUUUUUGCUUCAGUUUUAUUUUCUGUUUUACUCUGCUGCGCCGCUUUUGCUUCUGCAACCUGUAAUUCGAGAUUUUUCCAAGUUAUUCAGAUUCCGCAUCUGAUUUCAUGUGUCAUCUUGUUUCUCUACUCUUUAUCUCUUUACUUAUGCAAUAUUAUCAUUUAUCUGCGUUUAUGUCUUUGAGCAUGUUGUCUGAGUAGUGACAUAGAGUUCUUAAGGAUGGGAUAGAGUAGUUGUGGAAUCCGUAUUCUGUAGAAUGGUUAAGUUUAGAAUUGAUUGAAUCCCUUUAGGAAUAGUUGUGUUUACUGCUUAUUUCUUUCUGAUAA